rnacentral:rRNA from 1 species
UACGAGUGCCCCGAGCGUUAUCCGGAAUUAUUGGGCGUAAAGCGUGUGUAGGUGGUCAUGUUAGUCUCCUGCGAAAUUCUUCGGCUUAACCGGGGCGUGACGGGAGAAACGGCAUAACUUGAGGAUGCGAGAGGUGUGUAGAACUCUAGGUGUAGGGGUGAAAUCCGUUGAUAUCUAGGGGAAUACCAAAAGCGAAGGCAGCACACUGGCGCAUUCCUGACACUGAGACACUAAAGCGUGGGGAGCGAAUGGG